GACAUCCAAGUUCCAUUUUUUUUUCUUUUUCCUUCUUCAAUUUGCAGAGAACUUCUAAGAGAGAGUUUGGAAGAAGAAGAGAAAUUUUACUAGAAUUUUUUUAGGUUGAAGAAGAGGAGGAGAACUCAAGCAAAGUGUAUCAAUGGCUGAAUUUUAGUUCAUUCUGCACAUCACUGGUUUUUAAUUCGGUUUGAACUCUUCAAAAGGAAUUAAGAGGGCAGUUGGUUUUCACUCGAAAUCAGGAGGUCUCUGGUUUUUCUUGUAUUUUAGAGUGUAUCGAUGGAGUUAGAAUCUCUAUUUGGUAUGGUUGGAAAGCUUAUGCAAUUUACUACAACUUUCAUGAAAAUAUUGUAAACCAAAAACGACUAAAAAUCAGUUAAAUUGUAGAGACAAGUUAAAGAGGUCAUGUGCGCGCGAUUCUGGAAGUGGUUCUGUUUUGAGGGUUAUAUGUGUUUAUGCACGGGGAAUCAGAUUUAUAUGUCUUCAGGCCGAGAAGAAUUAAACCGAGCUUAUAGACCAAGGAUCUAGCCCAAGACUGUAGAGAUCGACUUCCCGGUGCCUGAUAGACUGCCUUAGUCUGUGGAAGCUUCAUUAUCGAUUGCCAGUACGUGUUUUGAGUUGGGCAUAGAGUCUGUUGUGUUGUGGUGUAUAUACACCCUUGUAUGUUAUAGAUACUCCACAGUUUGUAUAAUAUUUAGGAGCUAUAGUUGUGUAAAUUUUGUUCGUUAUAUUUUGAUUAAGGUGUCUUUAGGUUUACUCGUGAAAUCGGUAAAUUUUGAGGUACACUUCAUGUAUGUGUUUGACUAGCUGUGUUUGACUAGCCUAGGAUCCGCUGUGUUUUGUGGCAUGUACAAUAGUUUAUAUACUAGAUUGGCAAGUUCAUCACAUGAAAGUUUUAAGCAGAGUCGACAGAUACAGGUACAGAAAAGCGUUGUUCAUCGGCUUCACGCCAUCUUUCGGUCUAAGGUAGCAGGUAGUCCGGGAGGGGGUGUGACAAGCCAAUUCUAAUGAACGUCGCAACCAUAAACGAGGGAAACACAUAGAGAGGAAGUAUCACUUGAUACGAGAGAUUGUGCAACGAGGAAAUGUGAUCGUCACCAAGAUUGCUUCGGAGCACAACAUUGCUGAUCCAUUUACGAAGACUCUCACGGCUAAAGUGUUCGAGGGUCAUCUAGAAAGUCUAGGUCUACGAGAUAUGUACAUUAGGUAACCUAGGGCAAGUGGGAGAUGUGUAACGGAUAUGAUGAUGCCCUAGUUUAUUGUAUUUGUAUAUAUACGUCUUAUGUAAUAUACUUGUACAUUUUACCAUUUCCAAUGUUUGAGGAUUACUUUAUUAUGUACAUCCCAUAAGGACUAGAGUUUUAGUCCAAGUGGAAGUUUGUUGGGUUUUAUGUCCUAAAACUCGUAGAUAGUAAAUAUAAUCAAUUGACUGCCAUUAAUAAAAUGUUUUAUUAUUAUUA